GAUUAAGUUAUUAAGGGCGCACGGUGGAUGCCUUGGCACUAGAAGCCGAAGAAGGACGUUACUAACGACGAUAUGCUUUGGGGAGCUGUAAGUAAGCGUUGAUCCAGAGAUUUCCGAAUGGGGAAACCCAACAUGAGUUAUGUCAUGUUAUCGAUAUGUGAAUACAUAGCAUAUCAGAAGGCAGACCCGGAGAACUGAAACAUCUUAGUACCCGGAGGAAGAGAAAGAAAAAUCGAUUCCCUGAGUAGCGGCGAGCGAAACGGGAAGAGCCCAAACCAAUAAGCUUGCUUGUUGGGGUUGUAGGACACUCUAUACGGAGUUACAAAAGUAUAUAUUAGACGAAUCAUCUGGAAAGUUGAAUCAAAGAAGGUAAUAAUCCUGUAGUCGAAAAUAUAUACUCUCUUGAGUGGAUCCUGAGUACGACGGAGCACGUGAAAUUCCGUCGGAAUCUGGGAGGACCAUCUCCUAAGGCUAAAUACUCUCUAGUGACCGAUAGUGAACCAGUACCGUGAGGGAAAGGUGAAAAGUACCCCGGAAGGGGAGUGAAAGAGAACUUGAAACCGUGUGCUUACAAGUAGUCAGAGCCCGUUAAUGGGUGAUGGCGUGCCUUUUGUAGAAUGAACCGGCGAGUUACGAUUUGAUGCAAGGUUAAGCAGUGAAUGUGGAGCCGUAGCGAAAGCGAGUCUGAAUAGGGCGUUGAGUAUUUGGUCGUAGACCCGAAACCAGGUGAUCUACCCUUGGUCAGGUUGAAGUUCAGGUAACACUGAAUGGAGGACCGAACCGACUUACGUUGAAAAGUGAGCGGAUGAACUGAGGGUAGCGGAGAAAUUCCAAUCGAACCUGGAGAUAGCUGGUUCUCUCCGAAAUAGCUUUAGGGCUAGCCUCAAGUGAUGAUUAUUGGAGGUAGAGCACUGUUUGGACGAGGGGCCCUUCUCGGGUUACCGAAUUCAGACAAACUCCGAAUGCCAAUCAAUUUAACUUGGGAGUCAGAACAUGGGUGAUAAGGUCCGUGUUCGAAAGGGAAACAGCCCAGACCACCAGCUAAGGUCCCAAAAUAUAUGUUAAGUGGAAAAGGAUGUGGCGUUGCCCAGACAACUAGGAUGUUGGCUUAGAAGCAGCCAUCAUUUAAAGAGUGCGUAAUAGCUCACUAGUCGAGUGACACUGCGCCGAAAAUGUACCGGGGCUAAACAUAUUACCGAAGCUGUGGAUUGUCCGUAGGACAAUGGUAGGAGAGCGUUCUAAGGGCGUUGAAGCAUGAUCGCAAGGACAUGUGGAGCGCUUAGAAGUGAGAAUGCCGGUGUGAGUAGCGAAAGACGGGUGAGAAUCCCGUCCACCGAUUGACUAAGGUUUCCAGAGGAAGGCUCGUCCGCUCUGGGUUAGUCGGGUCCUAAGCUGAGGCCGACAGGCGUAGGCGAUGGAUAACAGGUUGAUAUUCCUGUACCACCUAGUAUCGUUUUAAUCGAUGGGGGGACGCAGUAGGAUAGGCGAAGCGUGCUAUUGGAUUGCACGUCCAAGCAGUAAGACUGAGUGUUAGGCAAAUCCGGCACUCAUAAGGUCAAGCUGUGAUGGGGAGAGGAAAUUGUUUCCUCGAGUCGUUGAUUUCACACUGCCAAGAAAAGCCUCUAGAUAGAUAACAGGUGCCCGUACCGCAAACCGACACAGGUAGUCAAGAUGAGAAUUCUAAGGUGAGCGAGCGAACUCUCGUUAAGGAACUCGGCAAAAUGACCCCGUAACUUCGGGAGAAGGGGUGCUCUUUAGGGUUAACGCCCAGAAGAGCCGCAGUGAAUAGGCCCAAGCGACUGUUUAUCAAAAACACAGGUCUCUGCUAAACCGUAAGGUGAUGUAUAGGGGCUGACGCCUGCCCGGUGCUGGAAGGUUAAGAGGAGUAGUUAGCUUCUGCGAAGCUACGAAUCGAAGCCCCAGUAAACGGCGGCCGUAACUAUAACGGUCCUAAGGUAGCGAAAUUCCUUGUCGGGUAAGUUCCGACCCGCACGAAAGGCGUAACGAUUUGGGCACUGUCUCAACGAGAGACUCGGUGAAAUCAUAGUACCUGUGAAGAUGCAGGUUACCCGCGACAGGACGGAAAGACCCCGUGGAGCUUUACUGUAGCCUGAUAUUGAAAUUCGGCACAGCUUGUACAGGAUAGGUAGGAGCCUUUGAAACGUGAGCGCUAGCUUACGUGGAGGCAUUGGUGGGAUACUACCCUAGCUGUGUUGGCUUUCUAACCCGCACCACUUAUCGUGGUGGGAGACAGUGUCAGGUGGGCAGUUUGACUGGGGCGGUCGCCUCCUAAAAGGUAACGGAGGCGCUCAAAGGUUCCCUCAGAAUGGUUGGAAAUCAUUCAUAGAGUGUAAAGGCAUAAGGGAGCUUGACUGCGAGACUUACAAGUCGAGCAGGGUCGAAAGACGGACUUAGUGAUCCGGUGGUUCCGCAUGGAAGGGCCAUCGCUCAACGGAUAAAAGCUACCCCGGGGAUAACAGGCUUAUCUCCCCCAAGAGUUCACAUCGACGGGGAGGUUUGGCACCUCGAUGUCGGCUCAUCGCAUCCUGGGGCUGUAGUCGGUCCCAAGGGUUGGGCUGUUCGCCCAUUAAAGCGGUACGCGAGCUGGGUUCAGAACGUCGUGAGACAGUUCGGUCCCUAUCCGUCGUGGGCGUAGGAAAUUUGAGAGGAGCUGUCCUUAGUACGAGAGGACCGGGAUGGACAUACCUCUGGUGUACCAGUUGUCGUGCCAACGGCAUAGCUGGGUAGCUAUGUAUGGACGGGAUAAGUGCUGAAAGCAUCUAAGCAUGAAGCCCCCCUCAAGAUGAGAUUUCCCAACUUCGGUUAUAAGAUCCCUCAAAGAUGAUGAGGUUAAUAGGUUCGAGGUGGAAGCGUGGUGACACGUGGAGCUGACGAAUACUAAUCGAUCGAAGACUUAAUCAA
rnacentral:rRNA from 1 species